CCUACGGGAGGCUGCAGUGGGGAAUAUUGGACAAUGGGGGGAACCCUGAUCCAGCCAUGCCGCGUGUGUGAAGAAGGCCCUCGGGUUGUAAAGCACUUUCAGUGAGGAAGAACACCUGGUGGUUAAUACCCAUCAGGAAAGACAUCACUCACAGAAGAAGCACCGGCUAACUCCGUGCCAGCAGCCGCGGUAAUACGGAGGGUGCGAGCGUUAAUCGGAAUUACUGGGCGUAAAGCGCGCGUAGGUGGCUUGAUAAGCCGGUUGUGAAAGCCCCGGGCUCAACCUGGGAACGGCAUCCGGAACUGUCAAGCUAGAGUGCAGGAGAGGAAGGUAGAAUUCCCGGUGUAGCGGUGAAAUGCGUAGAGAUCGGGAGGAAUACCAGUGGCGAAGGCGGCCUUCUGGACUGACACUGACACUGAGGUGCGAAAGCGUGGGUAGCAAACAGGAUUAGAUACCCGAGUAGUC
rnacentral:rRNA from 1 species